GACGAACGCUGGCGGCGGGCUUAACACAUGCAAGUCGAACGGAAAGGCCCUGCUUUUGUGUGGUGCUCGCGUGGCGAACGGGUGAGUAACCCGUGAGUAACCUUCCCUUGACUUUGGGAUAACUUCAGGAAACUGGGGCUAAUACCGGAUAGGAGCUCCUGCUGCAUGGUGGGGUUUGGAAAGUUUCGGCGGUUGUGGAUGGACUCGCGGCUUAUCAGCUUGUUGGUGGGGGAGUGGCUUACCAAGGCUUUGACGGGUAGCCGGCCUGAGAGGGUGACCGGCCACAUUGGGACUGAGAUACGGCCCAGACUCCUACGGGAGGCAGCAGUGGGGAAUAUUGCACAAUGGGCGGAAGCCUGAUGCAGCAACGCCGCGUGCGGGAUGACGGCCUUCGGGUUGUAAACCGCUUUAGCCUGUGACGAAGCGUGAGUGACGGUAAUGGGUAAAGAAGCACCGGCUAACUACGUG
rnacentral:rRNA from 1 species